rnacentral:misc_RNA from 1 species
GAUGAAGAACGAAGCGAAAUGCGAUAAGUAAUGUGAAUUGCAGAAUUCAGUGAAUCAUCGAAUCUUUGAACGCACAUUGCGCCCAUUAGUAUUCUAGUGGGCAUGCCUGUUCGAGCGUCAUUAAGUCCACUUAAGCCCUGCUUAGUGUUGGGAGACUGCUCCAGCGGUGCUACCCUGUAGCUACCCUGCAGCUCCUCAAAGACAGCGGCGGAGUUGUGGUAUCCUCUGAGCUUAGUAACUUGUUCUAGCUUUCGAGUACACCACUUCCCCUGCCGUAAAACCCUUAAUUUUUAAUGGUUGACCUCGGAUCAGGUAGGAAUACCCGCUGAACUUAAGCAUAUCAAUAAGCGGAGGA